UGAGGUGACGUGCUCACCCCUCCACUGAGCAGGUCCCCUGCGGCUUGGGCGUGGGUGGAGCAGCAGGUCGUCUUGGCCUUGUCCAGCUGGCUGUCCUCGUGGGGGCUGGGUCUUGAGUGGCGUGAAGGCCGGCUGUCCUUCCCUCAUCACUCAUCCAGCAGGGGGCACCAGACGGGAGCCCCUGGACCAGGAAUGGGCAGCUGAGCCAUGCUGUCGUUUCAGGACGCUCACCUGCUGGGCUGAGGGAUGGAGCCCAGGACUGGGAGGGGUGAGGUGAGCAGCGCGAGGCACACACCUGCCCAGCUCUGAGCUCACCGUCCAUCCACGCUUGGGAUCCUUUAAUGUCCUCAUGAGAUGCAGUGCCCGCCCCCCACCAUUUGCAGCACGUCCACUCUUGGUAAUCCGAGACGAGUGCCCGGGCAACAGAGUCAGGUUCCAAGUCCUCCUCAGGCUCCUCUGGGCUGGAGGUUCCUCUUAGAGCAAACCUGUCUCUAGCUACAGAAGAUGUACUGGUAUAGCUAUGGUAAGCGAUGUAUUUUCUAAAAUCCUUACUUUACAAGGAUUCUUUUGCCAUUUGUGUAUAAUAUGGUCUCAGUUUAAAUUUAAUUCAUUCCCUAGUUCGUUUAUUCAUUCUUUGUCUCAUUUAUCCAGUAUUUCAACGACUAAGUAUUUUUCGGGUCUAUUAUGUGUCAAGUGCUGGGAAUGGCAAGGCGGUGGCCUCUGGAGCAGCUCUGAGGCUAGAAGGCACGGAUUGCGGAGCGUCCUGCAGUCGGGUGAGGGCUGCCGUGGAAUGUGGCCUCCUCAAAGCCGUGUGAGUCCGCAGCCUCCAUUCUGCUGGAGCUUAGGGGAGAGUCAAGGUUGGGAAGUAAAGGCCUCAGAGGCAGAAUGAGAGAAAGGACCAGAAGGAGCUGCCCAGGGCCCCACUCCAGGUGGCCUUGGAGGACAUUCUCUCCAUGGGGCGUCCAGGGCUGCAACCAGGGUCCUUGCAUCUGUGAAUUCAACCAACCACAGGUUAAACGUUUUUGGUGAAAAGAUCGCAUCUCUGCUGAACACCUGCAGACAUUUUCCCUGUCAUCAUUCCUGAUCAAUACAGCCCAACAGCCAUGCACACGGCAUUUACUUUGUAUCAGCGGUUCUGUGUCACUAGAGAUGGGUCGGGAGCACAGGAGUGCAUGCUCAGGUCACGUGCACACAGCAAGCCUUUUCUGCAGAUUCUGGUAGGGGUAGGGGUUCUGGAAGCAGCUUUGGGGAUGCUGACGGGCACCGUGGAGGACAAAACGGUGUCCACAGGGUUUGGCUGUCUCCUUGGUUCCGGGCAUCCUCUGAGGGUCUUGGAUUUUUCGUCCCUGGAUACAGGGCAACUGCCACAUUCCAGUUCCAGGCCCAGCCUUAGAACUCCCGACUUCUGCCUCUGGUCCCUGUCAUUGCCAUGAGAAAAACAGGCCGGGCCACCGGAACAAAGCACCCCCCUCGGGGACUUGAAACAACCGACAUUUGUCCUUCCCCAGUUCUGGAGGAGGAGGUCUAAAUCAAGGAGGCUGACAGUGACUCUCACUCCAGGGACCCGUCUCUGCUCUUCCAGUGUCGGGGGCCCCAGCAAUUCCUGGGCUGUGGCAGUGUCCCUCUGGUCCCUGCUGUGCCUUCCCUGCACGCCUGUGUCCUCACGGUGUGUGCACCAGGGUCUCUCCUCUCACAAGGACACCCGUCCUCAUGGAGAAGGCUCGGCCCUGAUGACCUUGUCUCCAACAGUGACAUCUGAAAAGACCUUAUUUCAAACACUGUCAUGUUCACAGGGACCAAGGGCCAGGACUUCAGCAUGUCCUCUCACAGUUGAACCACGGCAGUUAUCUCCCUGAUUCAAGGAGAACAGGGUCACCUUGUGUGAGCUGCAGCCUGACC
rnacentral:lncRNA from 1 species